UGUGUGUGUGUGUGUGUGUGUGUGUGUGUAUAAUGUAUAUCCGUAUAUACAUUUUUAAUACACACACACACACACACACACACACACACACG
rnacentral:miRNA from 1 species